GGUGUUAUGUUGAGUGUUGUUCUUUGGUCUCUAGGAACUCUGAGCAGCAGCAGGGCACCUAUAGAGCUGCUGACUUGGAUUGUCCUGUGGCCAUAUUCACUGUCAUCUUGAUAUUACUGGUGAACCUGAUGCACAGGCUCCAAUGCUGGACGUCUCGCUACCCACCGGGCCCCGUGCCAUGGCUUGUGCUGGGUAACCUGCUGCAGGCAGACCUACAUAACAUGACAUACAACUUAUACAAGACCUUUGGCCUGAAGAGAAAUCUGCCUUAUCUAUGUUAAUGUGGAAGACUGUUGCCAGGAGAAAUUGACAUACCAAGAAACAGAGGGUGAAUAAGACAGAUGCCAGCAUAUGACAAGUACCUGAACCAACUUAGAGUCCCACCAAGAUUCCCAGACCAUUUCUCAGCUUCCUCAGACUGGAUCUGAGAAAUGUGGCAUUUUAUAUCUUCCUGUCUGAUCAACUGAGUGACUAUAGACCUGUACUGAAGAUUGUAAAUACUCUAGUUCUCUUGCCCUAGUGGCC
rnacentral:lncRNA from 1 species